AAUACUUGUCUCCCUACUUAAAAGAAGCUGGCCCAGGAAAGUGGAAACCAAAGAGCUGCCCAUUGCCGAUAUUUUUCUUCACUUAUCCCAGAUUCACAAGGUGGAAAUAAGGUACAGAUUAAGAGCACUCUAUGAAGAGCCUGCUCCAUGAGCUAGAGGGAGCCCCAGCUGACAAAGUGUCAAGGCCCCAGCUGACAAAGCGUCAAGGCGAGUUAAGCAGCAGAGCGAAAAGAGGGUGGAUUCUUUCAGAAGAGGAGAGCAUUUUGGAAAGGGUACUUAACCUUCUGCCUCACUCCUCCGAGCUGUGAACAAAGAAAACAUCUUGAGUCAUUGCAGCAAGGAGAGGUUUAGGCAAGAGUCAGGCUGCAGGCCAGAUGUGUUGUGGAUCACCUGAAUGAAGCUCAUCACAGUUUGGGAACCCCUGGAAAGUGGAAAAGCCCAGGGGGACAUGGUGGAGGAGAGAAAUAGCCGAGCGUUCCUGGCACUUGACUCAAAAGCAAACAACGAAAUCCACAACAGGCUAUAUAUAGUUUUUGUUAGCUUUUCCUCUCUGGUCAAUAGGGGUUGGAGGUGUCAUAGUUUAUUUGAGCAGAGGACAAAAUGUGCCAGGCCAAACUGUCACCCCUUACCCGAAGGAGUCUGCCAUCCAGACCCAUUUCCACAGGCUCCACGUUUUUACACCAGCUUGUCUUAGUGGAUGAUGUGUGAGGAAGUAUAAUUUUCUACAAUGUAUGUCAUAUGUUUUCAUACUAUAGGGACAGGUGUGUUAUGGGAUAUACUGUCAUUGUCACAUCCCCACUAAGAGCUGACCAGAGUGGUUGAGUGUCCAUCAGUGUGGAAGCAAAACGGGGCACAUCAGUGCAGUUUCUACGCUCUGAAGAUACAU